rnacentral:misc_RNA from 1 species
GUCGUAACAAGGUUUCCGUAGGUGAACCUGCGGAAGGAUCAUUACCACACCUCUUUUUCUUAAUAACUUGUCAAUAUGAAUAGACUUUCGGGUUUAAUCAUAAUGCAAGUUAUUAUUAAAAAAACAAGAGAAGGAUGCGACUGUCAUAGGUCAAAUCCGACUUUUGCGUCCCACGGACAAACAAUCAAAUUUGUGGAAUCUUCGGAUUCCCUCAUUUAACAAAAACAUGCAACAUUUCAUAUGUUACCUGAUAUUGAUUUCAAUAAUUUGAAGUUGGUGGGUUUAUUCUCCCCAAUGACAAUACAAAAUUAAUGAAAAAACACUUUCAGCAACGGAUGUCUUGGCUCCCAU